rnacentral:tRNA from 1 species
AGCUUUAUAUUCAAUAAUGAUAUAAAAUUGCAAAUUUUAAGGAAUAUUUUAAUAAAUAUUAAGGCUU